rnacentral:rRNA from 1 species
UACAAAGACUGCAAGCGUUAUUCGGAUUCACUGGGCGUAAAGGGUGCGCAGGCGGCCAAGUGUGUGAGGCGUGAAAGCCCGGGGCUUAACCCCGGAAUUGCACCUCAAACUACAUGGCUAGAGCAUUGGAGAGGGUAGCAGAAUUCAUGGUGUAGCAGUGAAAUGCGUAGAUAUCAUGAGGAAUACCAGAGGCGAAGGCGGCUACCUGGACAAUUGCUGACGCUCAGGCACGAAAGCGUGGGGAGCAAAAGGG